GUCUCUUUCUGCCGCCAUCUUGGUUCCGCGUUCCCUGCACAAAAUGCCCGGCGAAGCCACAGAAACCGUCCCUGCUACAGAGCAGGAGUUGCCGCAGCCCCAGGCUGAGACAGGGUCUGGAACAGAAUCUGACAGUGAUGAAUCAGUACCAGAGCUUGAAGAACAGGAUUCCACCCAGGCAACCACACAACAAGCCCAGCUGGCGGCAGCAGCUGAAAUUGAUGAAGAACCAGUCAGUAAAGCAAAACAGAGUCGGAGUGAAAAGAAGGCACGGAAGGUAAGAUUUGAAAAGGAUUUCAGGAUCUUAUGAAGCACCUUUAUACAGAGUGGAACUGUUUAUUUCCAUAGGUUUUUGGGGAACAGGUGGUAUUUUGGUUACACAAGUAAGUUCUCUAGUGGUGAUUUUUGAGAUUUUGGUGCACCCGUCACCCAAGCAGUAUACACUGAACCCAAUUCUUAGUAGUGGUAGAAUCCCGUUGAAAGUAACAGAAGUAGCUGGGUUGGUGGCUCACACCUGUUAUCCCAGCACACUGGAAGGCCAAGGCGGGUGGAUCACUUGAGGUCAAGAGUUCAAGACCAGCCUGGCCAACAUGGCGAAACCCCAUCUCUACUAAUAAAAAUACCAAAAAAAUAUAGCAGGGCAUGGUGGUACGCUCCUGUAAUCCCAGCUACUAAGGUGGCUGAGGCACGGCAAUUGCUUGAACCUGGGAGACGGACAUUACAUUGAGCCAAGAUUGCACCACUGCACUCCAGCCUGGGCGACAGAGCAAGA
rnacentral:sRNA from 1 species